AACGAACGCUGGCGGCAGGCCUAACACAUGCAAGUUGAAGGAGAAGCUUACUUCGGUAAGUGGAGACUAGCGCACGGGUGAGUAACACGUGGGAACCUACCCAAAAGUUUGGGAUAACCAUUGGAAACGAUGGCUAAUACCGAAUAGACCCUCCGGGGUAAAGAUUUAUCGCUUUUGGAUGGGCCCGCGUCAGAUUAGCUAGAUGGUAAGGUAAUGGCUUACCAUGGCAACGAUCUGUAGCUGGUUUGAGAGGAUGAUCAGCCACACUGGGACUGAGACACGGCCCAG
rnacentral:rRNA from 1 species